CUAAAUUGCCGCGUUCACAGGCUUACCGCGUUCGUCAAGGGCGUACUUUCUCAUCCUCCUCCUCCUCCGCUCCCAAUCCUAUCGAUGACAAAGGGAAGAGAUCGGUCAUCACCCCAGUCUGGGAGUCUGUUAAUCGUCUUGCCCCCUGAAAUCUCGGCCUUAAUUAAAUCCAAGCUAAAGUCUGUUGAGUUGCACGAAGAAUAUUUGAGAGAGUUUGAACGUUAUCAUCAGGAAAAGGAGCAGAGCCGUAGCCUCCGUCCAUUCUCCUAGAAAUGUAAUGAAAUGUAUUAUAUCUAUUUGCAAUGCCAGUGAACUUAAUUGUCUA